rnacentral:lncRNA from 1 species
GCUUAUUGAAAUAUAAUUAGCAAUUCUCAUGCCGGUUAAGUUUUGAAAGAAAAAAAUACUCCAUAUUUCUACAUCUCCAUUAUACUUAUACAUAUCGAACUUGGCAGAUAGAUCCUUUCCUUGCCUUCAUUCAAUCUAAGAAAACGAAAAAAAAAGACACUCUGUACUAGAGACAAACGACUGAACAAAAGAUGGGAAGAAGACACAAGGAUACCAUAUCUACUAUAAAAGAGAGUUGUGGUGGUGGUGGUGAUGAAUUUGCUAAUAUAUAUAUCAAACCAUUUUAUUAACUCUACUUUAACAAUAUGCUAAUAAUAUUUUUAAUAAAAUCCCGUUGCAACGUAUGGGUAAUAUGCUAGUAUACCAUAUGCAUCUACUUCGUCCGCAGAGGUACGAGACGGACAGACAGCCUGUUGCCAUCUAAUUGUAGCUUGCUUCCCUUCUGAAGCUGCUGCGAUCUGCAGCCUUCUUCUGGCUUGCGUCGUCGCCUUCGUUGCCCGGCGCCGCCACGAGGCUGCUGAUGCUCCUCACUAUCCGGAGCUUGACCUGCCCUCUCUUCAGCGGCGGCCGCUUCUCCUUCGCCGUGUUAGCGCUGCUGCCCAGGUACUGGCAGUAGCUGUACUGAUCCAUCACCUGCACUGCUGCACACUGCAAACGCACUAGCUGCUACUACACUCUCUAGCUCUGUCAAUCUCUGUGUGUGUGAGAGAGAGGAGGCCAAGUGCUCUGAUGGGUGUGUAGCAAGGGGAUGAGAUAGAAGUAUUUAUAGGCAAAUGUUCUAUGGUCGCCUUGUGUGAACGCAUGCGAGCAUAUAUGAAGUGAUA